rnacentral:misc_RNA from 1 species
GUGCCUUGCACGAAAUGGGCACACUAUUUAAACCCAUACAGACAGAAAUAUAGUAUUUAUUGGAGUACGUGUCCUCAUGACAAACCUCAACAUGUCUGCUAACUCUAUUUCACGUUUCUAUGUACUCCACAAAAACCAAGACACUAACUAAGGUACUCUUAUAUUUCCCGAGAUAUAACGCAGAAUCUAGAAACAAGGAAUUACAGAAAAGAACGAAACAGAAUCCUAUACUCCGC